CGAGGACUGGAGUUGAGAACCCCUGAUCUACUGCAGUGCAAGUAAUAACUUGUUGGACCUCUGAAACAACUUUUCAGGCAACAGCAGAACUUUAAAUCCCUUCGUCUUCUACCUAGAUGAAACAUUCUGAAAGUAAAAUGAUUUGCGGACAGCAAUUCAUGCUUCUUCAAGAUGUGAAGGUUUUAGGACUUGCAUAAUAUGAGCUUAUAGCUUAAUUAUCCUCUUUCCCGCCUCCAGUCUCAUCUCUCCUUCUGCCCUGAGUUAACAGGUUAAAGAAAGCUCUCAGUAACAGAAUGGCUCUGACAUGAAGAGAAGCACUCCUGAUUUCGUUAGAGGCUGCACUCCACACAUUACGCUGCAGACCUUCUCCUGCACAAUGGAGAUAUGCAUAUUUUACUCCGACGGCAAAUGAAGCCGUCUCUGGACUGGAUGCAUCUUUGUGUGGCUAAAAGAUAACAUGGAGUAAAUUUAUCACACGUUAACAACCAUCGUCAGAGAAUUCAAAUGCAAGUUUAAGAGUCGCACUUGAUCACCAAGACAGGACUGUGAUUGUUGGUUAACGUGACGUAGCAACAGAGAGAUUUUAACCAGAUUUCCAAUCACAGUUGUUAUUAUGAAUGAUUCCCUUUGUGUAAGAAGUCUUUUGUUAAGGCUAAAUUGCAGUGUUCAAUACACUGUGUCAACCCUCUCAUUUAGAUUUGACUUGGUCUCGGUCAGAGACAGUUUGAUACGACAAGAACGAAGCACAUUUAAGGUUUGAGAGCUUAAGAAAUAAAGGGCUCAGGGCGAACCAUUUCCUUGUUUGAAAGGCAAAUCAUUAGUCUGGAGAGAAAUGUCAUAUGGUGACAUCCAUUUGUACUGCAAUUGCUCUCUGACAAUAGCACGCCUUUUUAUGCUAAUAAAAACAGCUUUUAAAACAUGAUGAUCCUUUAGCACGAAAGGGAUGAAUAAAUAAAUAAUGACUUC